UCUUGCGUAGGUUAUAUUUUUAGACUAUCGGUUUGUGGUGCCGGCGGAUUCGUGAACGUAGGAA
rnacentral:tRNA from 1 species